GACGAACGCUGGCGGCGUGCCUAAUACAUGCAAGUAGGACGCAGUUGCCAACGGGUGAGUAACGCGUAGGUAACUGCCUAUUAGAGGGGGAUAACUAUUGGAAACGAUAGCUAAUACCGCAUACUAGUAGAUGGACCUGCGUUGUAUUAGCUAGUAGGUAGGGUAAUGGCCUACCUAGGCGACGAGAAAUAGCCGACCUGAGAGGGUGAUCGGCCACACUGGGGAUGAGACACGGCCCAGACUCCGACGGGAGGCAGCAGUAGGGAAUCUUCGGCAAUGGGGGGAACCCUGACCGAGAAACGCCGCGGGAGGGAAGAAGGUUUUCGGAUCGUAAAGCUCUGUUGUUAAGGAAGCGGUACUUAACCAGAAAGGGACGGCUAACUACGUGCCAGCCGCCGCGGUAAUUC
rnacentral:rRNA from 1 species